CGACCUUCUCGGUUUCAAAACGAGAGGUUGGAGGCGGCAUGCUCGAUCUCGUCCUUCCCCAUCGCUAGCGCACGCCAUCCUGCAGAGUUGUGAUGUGUGGAGGGAGGACAAAGGGCAGCGUACGUAGCAGUUCAGGGAUGAGUGUGGCUUGAAGGACGAUUUUGCUUGUAGGUGUUUAAUCAUUUCUGUCAAGCAUGAUGGACUUGGGGACUUAGAUGCAUGCACGUGUCACGUCAUCACCAGCAGCAUAAAUGUUCAUGUUUUAAGAAUUCAGUUUGCAAUGGCACUUGUCUAUGUUAAAGUAUUGUCAACCAUAGCGUAGUUAUGUUGCUGCAAUGUAAUAAUUGAGUGAUUUGCAUCCUGAAGUUAGUGUUUAAAUAUUCACCUAUAUUUGUUGAUGUAAUUAUGUUUGCAAUCUUGAGUCGUGGUCUUUGUUCUUGCUGGGUUU